CAUGCAGGCGGCCUGUUAAGUCAGAUGUGAAAGCCCGGGGCUUAAACCCUCGGAAAUUGCAUUUUGAAAAACUGGCAGGCUAGAGUCUUGUAGAGGGGGUAGAAUUUCAGGUGUAGCGGUGAAAAUGCGUAGAGAUCUGAAGGAAUACCAGUGGCGAAGGCGGCCCCCUGGACAAAGACUGACGCUCAGAUGCGAAAAGCGUGGGGAGCAAACAGGAUUAGAUACCCUGGUAG
rnacentral:rRNA from 1 species